rnacentral:rRNA from 1 species
CCUACGGGUGGCAGCAGUGGGGAAUAUUGGACAAUGGGCGAAAGCCUGAUCCAGCCAUGCCGCGUGUGUGAAGAAGGCCUUCGGGUUGUAAAGCACUUUCAGUGGGGAAGAAAGCCUUGGGGCUAAUACCCUCGAGGAAGGACAUCACCCACAGAAGAAGCACCGGCUAACUCCGUGCCAGCAGCCGCGGUAAUACGGAGGGUGCGAGCGUUAAUCGGAAUUACUGGGCGUAAAGCGCGCGUAGGCGGUCUGAUAAGCCGGUUGUGAAAGCCCCGGGCUCAACCUGGGAACGGCAUCCGGAACUGUCAGGCUAGAGUGCAGGAGAGGAAGGUAGAAUUCCCGGUGUAGCGGUGAAAUGCGUAGAGAUCGGGAGGAAUACCAGUGGCGAAGGCGGCCUUCUGGACUGACACUGACGCUGAGGUGCGAAAGCGUGGGUAGCAAACAGGAUUAGAUACCCGAGUGGUC